AACGAACGCUGGCGGCAUGCCUAACACAUGCAAGUCGAACGAGACCUUCGGGUCUAGUGGCGCACGGGUGCGUAACGCGUGGGAACCUGCCCUUAGGUUCGGAAUAACUCCCCGAAAGGGGUGCUAAUACCGGAUAAUGUCUUCGGACCAAAGAUUUAUCGCCUUUGGAUGGGCCCGCGUUGGAUUAGCUAGUUGGUAGGGUAAAAGCCUACCAAGGCGACGAUCCAUAGCUGGUCUGAGAGGAUGAUCAGCCACACUGGGACUGAGACACGGCCCAGACGCAAACGGGAUGAAGCAGUGGGGAAUGUGGGAUAAUGGGAGAAAGGCUGAACCACUAAUUCCGCGGGAAUGAUAAAGGCAUUAGGGGGGUAAAGAGCUCGUACCAGGGAUGAUAAUGAAAGUACCGGGAGAAUAAGAUACGGCUAACUCCGUG
rnacentral:rRNA from 1 species